UUUAAAUUAUUUCUACAGAUUCAAUAUGUGAAACAUUACUUUAACCGCGAUGCUUACAUUCUAACCUUUAAAAGAUUUUUAGCCAGACAUGGUAACACAAACAAACACAACGGUAUUGAUCAUGAUGAAAAGUUUGUUUUAGAAUGUGAGGCGUAAAGAGCGAGUAAAGUGCGUAAAAUAAAUAAAGUAAAGCGAGUGAGAAAAAUAAAUAAAGUAAAGCGAGUGCUGAAAAUAAAUAAAGUAAAGCGAGUGCAGAAAAUAAAUAAAGUAAACCGAGUGCGGAAAAUAAAUAAAAUAAAAGCGAGUGCGAAAAAUAAAUAAAAUAAAAGUGUAGACAGAAAGUAAAUAAAAUAAAAGCGAUGCGGGAAAUAAAUAAAUAAAGUGACAAAUAAGAACCUGCUCCAAAUGGAGGGUUUUAAAUCUGGUACAAAAAUAAACCUCCGACUCCUGAAGCUGAAGACGACAGCAACUCGAACUGACCCAACUCAAUCUCAC
rnacentral:lncRNA from 1 species